rnacentral:rRNA from 1 species
AGUGAACGCUGGCGGCAGGCCUAACACAUGCAAGUCGAACGGCAGCGGGUCAGUAGCAAUACUGAUGCCGGCGAGUGGCGGACGGGUGAGGAAUACAUCGGAAUCUACCUUGUCGUGGGGGAUAACGUAGGGAAACUUACGCUAAUACCGCAUACGAACUACGGUUGAAAGCGGCGGACUCGCAAGAGCGUCGCGCGAUUGGAUGAGCCGAUGUCCGAUUAGCUAGUUGGCGGGGUAAAAGCCCACCAAGGCGACGAUCGGUAGCUGGUCUGAGAGGAUGAUCAGCCACACUGGAACUGAGACACGGUCCAGACUCCUACGGGAGGCAGCAGUGGGGAAUAUUGGACAAUGGGCGAAAGCCUGAUCCAGCCAUGCCGCGUGUGUGAAGAAGGUCUUCGGAUUGUAAAGCACUUUUGUUCGGGAAGAAAAGCCGCCGGUUAAUACCUGGUGGUCAUGACGGUACCGAAAGAAUAAGCACCGGCUAACUUCGUGC